CGGCUGGACGACAAUACCCCUUUAGCAAUUCGCACGCAAAAACUUACGUCUUCAUUUAUCUGGGGAAAGGAGCCGCAAAGCCAUUGAACCGAGUUGUUUUGUUCAUGCAUACUUUAUAUGUGUGAAUAAUGAAACAGUCAGCCGGGUUCCAGCCGGCUCGCUUGCCUUGCCAUAAUACGUGCAGUUAAUAAUGGAUGAAGCCAACCGGUGCCUCCCUCUAAGUCCCAGCAGUCAUGCAAUUUCCUGGAAGAGGCAAAAGAUAAGAGGGAAAAAAAUAUUGGCCUGUGUACAAAAAAUAACAGGGAGAUUCCUACCUGAUCCUCAAAUCUUCUGUAAAUCAUGGACUAACACCAUCAGACAUCAUUAAACCACUUGAUCUCCUCAGUCCCCGAAAUAGUGCACUGUGAUAUAAUGGUGCUGCCUGACCUGCUGAGUGUUUCCAGCAUUUUUUGAAACAAAGUUUAUCUGUUUCCAUGAUACAACAGAGCAACAUAAAUCAUAAAUCAUUGUCUUUAUCGUACAUGAAAGAAACUUGGAACAUUUUUGAUAAAAGAUAGAUGAAAAUCCAAGACACAGCCCUCAUAAAUCAGGAAAUAUAUUUUCAUCAUCUCUAUCUCCCUGACUAAACUUUGUAAUCUAUCAAGAUAAGACUUUUUUAAAUUAGUAUACAGAUAAUUAAGGGUAGAUGAUUAUCUAAAUUUCCAGUGUCACUCCUGAUGCUCUGUGAUGGAAGCACUGAAGAUGAAUAUUUACUUAAGUUGGCAGCAAAGUAAUGCACUGACGAAGCUGUUGAUGUGACUAUUUUAAAAAUGUAAACAUAAUUUCUUAAAUCCUUUAACAGAGCAAUAAAAAAAGCAUGUAAUUUAUUAAAGAAGUGAUCUCUAAAUAACAUUUCACAAAAGGACCCAAACUGCUUUCUGUAAUAGGAUUGUACAUUCAAAAAACAACAUUUGAACAAGCACUUUGAUCAUGCUAGAAGUUUAUGUGACAAUCCUGUCAAUCUGUGAUGACCUCUGGAUAAACUGUAGCCUUUAACUCUUUUCUCAUGUCAUAAGUGAGAAGGCUAGAGAUUAUCUUUCAAGC